rnacentral:lncRNA from 1 species
AUGUUAAAGUUAGCUGUCACAUUAACAUAUUUAACAGGCAACAAAUCUGAGACAAGCAUCUUUAGUGUUAACAUAUUAUGUAAGAGGACUUCAGAAGUAAACUCUGCUGCCUCCUGUAUGUGUUUAGAGAAGCAUCCUGUCCCGACUCCAGCAGGAAAUAUCACAACACUCACAGUUUCUAUUUCAGAUGACACUAAUAUGUACUACUUCCUCCUCACCACACUGCCUGUAAUGCUGCUGUUGAUAUUGGAUGUGUCGGGGGUGUUCUGCUUCAGAGUCAUGUCAAGGAGGAGAAAAGAACAGAAUGAAAUCUAUGCUGUGCCAGGACAGUGGGUGCGUCCCGUAGCUCCAAAAUGUCAGAAGGAUUAUAACGCACUGACAAAUUCAACCAGUCUGGAGCUCAUCUGGAGUACAUGAGCUCUGAAAUUAACAGUAUGACGUCUGCAAAGAGUCAGUUUGAGGACUAUGAGAGCAACCAGAGCCGGCCCACACAGUGCGGUUUUGUCACAAAUUACCUCUACGAGAGCUGCCGGGGGUCCUCGGCAGUGGAGUUCGGAUGGGUGGACAAUGACAUCUAUGGAUACUAAAACAUUAUACAGUGUAUACUGACUGGUCACGUCUCCGUCAUUAGUGUGUCUGGCUCUUCCACCAUGUCUGUAUGUCUGCUCUUUGUUGAAAGAGCAGACGGAAGUCAUUGGGGGUCUAAUGCAGGGGUGUAUAGGUUCCCAUAACUGACUAUACAAAGAAGCAUAAAGGUGUCAUCGGCUUGUGAGAGCUUCCUCUGUGGAAGCUGGCGUCCUGGAACAGGACCUUCCAUUUGGAAAUUCACAAAACAGUGCGCUGACCUCUCAGCCCAUCUCAACAACAUCCUUCUGUGUCUCUGAGAACGGCCUCUCUGAAGGAUACCUACUGCUGUUCCCUUGUUUCUGAAGACCGUCUAGUUGCUUCGUAAGCUAUUUAGUGUAAAAACUGAAUGAAAGGAUUUGUUUAUAUAAAACAUUAUUGUAAAAUAUUAAAUAUGUAUUUAAAAAGAUAAAUAAUGAGUUUUUUUUUUGCUGUAUUUGGAUUGUAAAUGAUAUAUUGUUUGUCCUAAUAAUAAUAAUAAUAAUAAUAAUAUCUUUGUCAAAUGUUUGUGUUUAAUCAACAUUGUUCCCACACUCCUGGAAAACCUGGAAAUGUUAGGGAAUUUUAAAAACAGGCUUGGAAAGGAAGACUGUAUAUUUUUAUAGUGAAUAUACAUUUUUCUCGUUAGUUAUACUUGGUAAGAAGUUGAGUGCAGUUUAUGUAAAAUCUUUUUGACCGCAAAAGUUGUGGGAAUGGUCUGACCUAACCCUAAUGAAUUAUUUAAUUUUAUUAUAUUAGAUUAAAAGAAAAACUUUUUUGAAAAUCUAAACAGAUGUUUUUGUUAUGAAUGCUAAGAAUAAAUCUCUACCUUUUCCAUAUCAUCAAAUGUCACUGCUGCAUGUUUAGCUAUAACUUCACAUCGGGUUCAGAUGACUCGGUUUCCAAACCACUCUGUUAUUUAACAUUUUGUACCCUUUUUAUCGACUGCGUCACUCUCAAUUUAUUGCAAAUAUUCAAACGUUGUUUUUUGGAAAUGCAUUAUUAUUCAGAUGAAUUCCCUGACGUCAUCAGAGCUGUAAGAGCAGUGAAGUAUUUUAUAAGGCCUGAGUGACUGCAGUACAUCAUGUGACCGUGAGGUGUCAUCAUAUGAUAGUCCAUCUAAAACUGAAUUACGUGCAGCUUUUGAGGACAUAUUUGUUUGCACUUGUGUCACGGAGGUGUUUAAAUUACAUUUUCCAAUACAAAACAUGCACUGUCUGUCUGUAAUGCGUUUCUACGCUUACAUACUCUUAAUAUGAAUGACUUGUUUAUUAAACAGUUCAGUAGCUACUCUCCAGUAAAACUCGCGCUCAGGUUGAUUAUUCAGAUAUAUUUCAUGUUUGUGACAAAAUGCUGCUUUAUAUGAUUGUGAUUAUGUAAUUGAGCAAAUAUGUGCCACGCCUGCUUUGAUGUCUACAGGGUUGGGUUGCAAACAUUUGUCUUAGUGCCAUAGAUGUCAAAAUGUUACAUUACUUAAGGCAAUUAGUGAGAUUCCGGGGACCUCCAGGAGGCAGCAAAUAGGGUUAAUGGAAAUGUUUAUAUGUAUAUUUAACACGAUUUAAAUAAUAAAUAAAAUGCAAAUAAGUCAAAUAUACUAAUGCAUCUAACAGACCAGUACAGUUUAAGUGGGGUCUUUACACAGAAAACUAUCAAGAGUCUCCGUGGAAUCUAAAAGAUCGAAAACCUCAGACUUAAGAUAUACAUAAGUGUCGAUAAAGCCGGAAAACCACCGCGUAAAGCCUUCAAACACCGAGCACGGUGCCUUCGGUUCUCAUUCCUCGACUGAAGCGCACGAGAGACUGUCAAAGUCGAUGUCGGGUUUCGCAGCCAGCGCGCGACGCUCCGGCCGUUGACGUAAGAGGUGGGUCUGGUCGUCUUGGAAACGAAUUGGCACUGGAGUGUGGAAGCGCUUCGAAGCCCCGCCCCUUGCACAAAUACCCCCACAGGCUCUGACGUCAAUGCACGUCAGCCAGAGAACAUGAUGCCUCCUGAAAGUCAGCUCGUGUAGUCUCGCAAACACAGCUGAAAUAUUAGAGCUCUAUUGUAUUGGAGGAGGUAGCGUGAUACAUCGGCGCGCUCCCAAACGCUCUUCUGGUGAGACUGGAGCGGACCGCCGGCGAGCACACUGGGGCUGGCACGCUGGCACGCUGGCACGCUGGCAUUUCGACACGGCUUAGCUUGUGCUAGACGUGUUAUCUUGAGGCUCAAGUGGCAGGUCUCUAUCUUCUCGCCACAAAC